GAACCUCGUGUGGUGCUGUCAUAUGUAAAACGUAAACUCUGUCGGAGGCUAUGUGUCUGUUGUUAGUAAUAUAAAGGUAAGUUUGUGUAUCAACUGUCUCUGCGUUUUAUACAGAAAUAUCUGCGGUUCUGCUUUUCAACCCGCAUUUAAUACCCGCUUUAGUUAAUCCAGGCUUCGAUUACAUCAGAUGUGUCUGAGGUCAACUGAAAGGAGUUAAAUUUUUCGGAACGUGUUGCUGAACACGUUCAGUUAUUGUUGUAUUAUCAUCAUACGAUACAGGUGUUUAAUGUUCACAUGAACACGUAGUGUGAGUUUUAAUCUUUUGUUAUUGACGAGGCUGGACGAGAACGUUGUUUCCUUUGCCAACGAAUCGACUCUCAGGUGAAUAUGCGUAGUCGACUCUUUUAGGUGAACAUGCGUAUUCGACUCUUUUAGGUGACGUUUAAGUGCCGACUCUUUUAGGUGAAAUAUGCGGAGUCGACUCUUUCAGGUGAAUAUUAGGAGUCGAAUCCUUUAGGUGAAUAUUAAGAGCCGACUCUUUUAGGUGAACAUUAACAGCCGACUCUUUUUAGUGAAUAUUAAGAGCCGACUCUUUACGGUGAAUAUUGAGCGCCGACGCUUUUAGGUGAAUCUUGAGCGCCGACACUUUUAGACGCAUAUUCGGAGCCGAAUCUUUUAGGCGAAUAUUCGGAGUCGACUCUUUUUAGGCAAAUAUUGGGAUAC
ensembl:lncRNA